AAUUAUAAUAGGGGAAUUUAAUGUAGAUCGUUACAAAACUUCAGCAUCUCAGUGCAUGUCGGAUUUAAAGACUUCUAUUUAAAUUUUAAGAUUGAAUUCGUCAGGUGGAUUUAGAUGGUUUAAUACAGUGUAUUAAUUAUCGGGUGUAAUUCAUUAAAUUAUAAUAUUUGGAACCGUUACUCGAAAGUCAUAGAUUCGAACAUCAAGAACUUAUGUAAACAGCAUACAACGAUAUAGUGUUAGUUAGUAGCUCGAAGUGUCAUGCUUAAAUCAAUUAAUUAACGAAAGGAGGGAAAAGAUAUAGAAAAAGGAUAAAAAAGCUAAUCUAUUUUCAACGGCGCCUUGAGACAGGCGGUAUUACCCCUUGAAGAACCAUGGGUGCUUAGUAGUUGUCGCAAUAAUAUUCUUUUUAC